UAGGGAAUCUUCCGCAAUGGGCGAAAGCCUGACGGAGCAACGCCGCGUGAGUGAUGAAGGUCUUCGGAUCGUAAAACUCUGUUGUUAGGGAAGAACAAAUUUGUUAGUAACUGAACAAGUCUUGACGGUACCUAACCAGAAAGCCACGGCUAACUACGUGCCAGCAGCCGCGGUAAUACGUAGGUGGCAAGCGUUAUCCGGAAUUAUUGGGCGUAAAGCGCGCGUAGGCGGUUUCUUAAGUCUGAUGUGAAAGCCCACGGCUCAACCGUGGAGGGUCAUUGGAAACUGGGAAACUUGAGUGCAGAAGAGGAGAGUGGAAUUCCAUGUGUAGCGGUGAAAUGCGCAGAGAUAUGGAGGAACACCAGUGGCGAAAGCGGCUCUCUGGUCUGUAACUGACGCUGAUGUGCGAAAGCGUGGGGAUCAAACAGG
rnacentral:rRNA from 1 species